rnacentral:rRNA from 1 species
CCUACGCGUGGCAGCAGUGGGGAAUCUUGCACAAUGGGCGAAAGCCUGAUGCAGCAACGCCGCGUGAAGGAAGAAGGGUUUCGGCUCGUAAACUUCUAUCAACAGGGACGAAAGAAAUGACGGUACCUGAAUCAGAAGCCCACGCUAACUACGUGGCAGCAGCCGCGGUAAUACGUAGGGGGCAAGCGUUAUCCGGAAUUACUGGGUGUAAAGGGUGAGUAGGCGGCAUGGUAAGACAGAUGUGAAAGCCUUGGGCUUAACCCGAGGAUUGCAUUUGGAACUAUCAAGCUAGAGUACAGGAGAGGAAAGCGGAACUCCUAGUGGAGCGGUGAAAUGCGUAGAUAUUAGGAAGAACACCAGUGGCGAAGGCGGCUUUCUGGACUGUAACUGACGCUGAGGCACGAAAGCGUGGGGAGCGAACAGGAUUAGAUACCCUUGUAGUC